GAACGCACCUUGCGCUCCUUGGUAUUCCGAGGAGCAUGCCUGUUUGAGUGUCAUUUAAUUCUCAACCUUAUUAGCUUUUGCUGAUAAUGGCUUGGAUGUGGGGGUUCUCUUUUGCUGGCUUCUUUUCACAGAGGUCAGCUCCCCUGAAAUGCAUUAGCUGGUGCCCCGCGUGGACUGUCUAUUUGGUGUGAUAAUUAUCAACGCCGUGGAUGUCUGCAAUUGGUUUUGGCACUGCUUCUAACUGUCUGUUCAUUUGGACAACACAUGACAAUUUGACCUCAAAUCAGGUAGGACUACCCGCUGAACUUAAG
rnacentral:misc_RNA from 1 species